ACGGAACACCCUUGACAGAGGUUUCGGCCAAUGAAGAGGAAUGUUUAGUGGCGGACUGGUGAGUAACGCGUGAGGAACCUGCCUUUCAGAGGGGGACAACAGUUGGAAACGACUGCUAAUACCGCAUGAAGCAGCGAGGGGACAUCCCCUUGCUGUUAAAGAUUUAUCGCUGAAAGAUGGCCUCGCGUCUGAUUAGCUAGUUGGUGGGGUAACGGCCCACCAAGGCGACGAUCAGUAGCCGGACUGAGAGGUUGACCGGCCACAUUGGGACUGAGAUACGGCCCAGACUCCUACGGGAGGCAGCAGUGGGGAAUAUUGGGCAAUGGACGCAAGUCUGACCCAGCAACGCCGCGUGAAGGAAGAAGGCUUUCGGGUUGUAAACUUCUUUUAACAGGGAAGAGUAGAAGACGGUACCUGUUGAAUAAGCCACGGCUAACUACGUGCCAGCAGCCGCGGUAAUACGUAGGUGGCAAGCGUUGUCCGGAUUUACUGGGUGUAAAGGGCGUGUAGCCGGGAAGGCAAGUCAGAUGUGAAAUCUGGAGGCUCAACCUCCAAACUGCAUUUGAAACUGCUUUUCUUGAGUAUCGGAGAGGUAAUCGGAAUUCCUUGUGUAGCGGUGAAAUGCGUAGAUAUAAGGAAGAACACCAGUGGCGAANGCGGAUUACUGGACGACAACUGACG
rnacentral:rRNA from 1 species